GACGAACGCUGGCGGCGUGCUUAACACAUGCAAGUCGAACGAUGAAGCCUAGCUUGCUGGGUGGAAGAGUGGCGAACGGGUGAGUAACACGUGAGUAACCUGCCUAUCACUCUGGGAUAAGCGCUGGAAACGGCGUCUAAUACUGGAUAUGUCCCAUCACCGCAUGGUGUGUGGGUGGAAAGAUUUAUCGGUGGUAGAUGGACUCGCGGGCUACCAGCUGGUUGGUGAGGUAAUGGCUAACCAAGGGGACGACGGGUAGCCGGCCUGAGAGGGAGACCGGCCACACUGAGACUGAGACACGGCGCAGCCGCCUACGGGAGGGAGCAGUGGGGAAUAGUGCAAAAUGGGCGCAAGCCUGGUGCAGCAACGCCGCGUGAGGGAUGACGGCCUUCCGGUUGUAAACCUCUUUUAAUAGGGAAGAAGCGAAAGUGACGGUACCUGCAGAAAAAGCACCGGCUAACUACGUGCCAGCCGCCGCCGCUG
rnacentral:rRNA from 1 species